rnacentral:lncRNA from 1 species
GAUUGAGAAUAAUGGUUCUGUUUUGGAGGUUGAUGGAAGAUGCCCUUUGGCCAGGAAAACAGCUCAUGCUUUUAGAGGAGGAUAAUUGCCAGAAGGCCUCUCUGAAUAAAAAAAAAUCCUGACCUCACAGCCUUUGCGCUUACUUGGGUUAGAAUGCCACAGUGAACAUUGCCCCUUGUCAUCACGUAGAGGUGCUCACAGGUAAAGCAACACAAGGAGCAUAUAGGAUCACCUGCUGGAUCUUGUUUUUAACACCAGGGAGGAAAAUGGUGUCUUGGGUAAUGAACAUGCCUCAAGACUGAGCUGGCCAUCUUCAGUGUCAUCCAAACCCUCAGUGGCCCCUGAAAAACCCUUUGAAAAGAUUCAGCACGUUGCCAUGGAGAACAUCCCACUGAAGGAAUGUAUAGAAGUAGCAGGUGUCAGCUGCCUACCAGUUGCUUUCAUCUCUAGAAAUCUGUGACUUGCAGUAUGACAAGAACAAAAGGUGACAAUACAAAGGACAAAGGGCAAGGAAUACAGACGGAGAAGCCGCUUAGAGUCUAGGAUGGCAGAGGUUCUCUUGAUCAUUUCAUUUUUGAGCGCUUGUAGAGCUUUGGUGUACCAGAGGUGCUUGAACAGCUUACCACACCACAGAUGAAUGGCCUUUGGAUUUCUCCUAAGAAAAUGGU